AGGCUCUUCUGUGUCGAGCGGAGGAGCUACUCUGUGCCCAGCUUAGAGGACUGGAAGAGGCCGCAACCUUCCACCUGCUGGAGGUUGGAAGAUGGAUGGAGGCUGGAGGAUGGAUGGAGCCUGGAGCCUGGAGCCUGGGUCACUACCUCGCUACGGUUGGUGGUGGCGAUAGAGCAGUAGGAGGGCGGCGGGCAGCAGGAGCUUCUGCUGGGCUGGAGAACUAGAAGGAAGAGGCACUGCCACAUGCUGGAGGCUGGAACCUGUGCCAUCAUGGCUCGCCUCGCUGUGAUUGUCAGUGAUGUCGGAGACUGCAGCUCAGCCACAGUGGUAGAAAUGUGAUGGGGUAGGUGAGUUUCCGUGCCUGCCCUGUACGCCUCUGGGGGCAAGGGUUGGGUGUCCUAUUGGGGCUCACUGCUAGAGGCUACCCUGCCUGUGGCAGUGGUCUGGUUGGGGGCACUCUCUGGUGUUGCAUUGCUGGCUGUGGGGCAGGUUGGCUGGCUAUCUGGGGCUAUACUGCCCGUGGUGGCAGGGGUGGUGGGGGGAGGCAGAUUGUGUACACUAGCGUGUAUUGCCGGCGGCUGGUGAAGGAUUAGGGGUGCUAUCUUCUGCUGCACUGCCUGCGGCAGGGGGUGGGUUGGGUGGAGUUAUCUGGGGCUACAAUGCUGGCAGUUGGGGGUGGUUUAGGGGCGUUGUUGGGUGCUGCACUGCCUGUGACUGGGGGGUGCACCAUCAGGAGAUGAACUGCCCGUGGCUGGGUCAGAUUGUGGGCACUAUUGGGUGGUAUGCUCCCUGAGGUGUGGGGGGAGUGCUUUGGGGGGGUAUUGGGGUUACAUUGUCUGAAACUGUAGGGUGUGUUGGAUGUGCUAUCCAUGGGCUACACUGCUAGUGGCAGGGAGCAGAUUAGGGGUGCCAUGGGGGCUACACUGCCAGCGGCGUUGGCGAGCUGAGGAGGUGGCAGCGGCAGUGACAGCAGUGACCUCCUUCUUCUGGUAGCCUCCAAGUAAGGGAUGGUUCUCCUCUUCUUGGACUCCAGACUCUAGAAGGCGAUUUUCUCCCAUGCGAGCUAGAUUGCACGGCAGGGCCUCCACACCCACUGUGGUUUCCUGCCCCGUGCUCAUGCUCUGUGUUGCGAAGACCACCUGGGACUACCAGGCAGGGAGUAGUGGGCAUGAUGGGGGAAGUGGGGUACAGGGCACUGUGGGUGGAGGUGUCAGGUAUGGGAACCAGCCCUUGGGUGGGGAGGGCUGGCUGGGUCUGAGUUUCUCCUACUCAGGCUCUGCGAGGAGGGCAGCCUUGGUGGGCCCAGCAAUUGUUGGCCAGCUGGACUUGGCCAGGGGCCGGUUUCAGUGAAGGCACUCACUCCCACCCCAGGCCCCAGUUCCUGGCCAGCUUUUGCCAGAAGAAGAGGUUGGACUUUGGAAGGUGGGUGUGAGUGCCUUCAAUGAAACUGAUCCCUGACACCCAGUCAUCAGCAUGAGAAGGUGAGGCUCUAACGGUUCCACUCCCUGAGUCCUGUUUUGGGAUCUUCUGGCUUUGCCUGCCCAGCUGCUCCAAGCCAGGCUGAAGGAGGAGAAGGAGGAGUCGCCUGUGGUAGGGUCGAGCAGAUGACGUGGCUCUGCAGCUUGCCUCAUGCAGUUGGUGGUGGAGAUGGAGACCGCAGCUCGACUGGAGUGGUAUGAGGGCACCCACGGGGGCCAGGUGAGUAUUGUCAUGUGCAUGAGCAAACCUGGAUCAUCACCACAUCUUUGCAAGAGGAAAAAGAAUGGGAGGGAAUCAUGUGUAUAAUGUUGUUAAGGCAAAGAUUCACAACCA
rnacentral:lncRNA from 1 species